AUUGAACGCUUGCGGCAGGCCUAACACAUGCAAGUCGAGCGAGCGGCGCACGGGUGAGUCAUGUCUGUGAAACUGCCUGAUGGAGUGGGCUAACUACUUUAAACGCUAUCUAAUACCUCAUACCAUCAGAUGUGCCCCGAUGGGAUUAGCUAGUAGGUGGGGUAACGGCUCACCUAGGCGACGAUCCCUAGCUGGUCUGAGAGGGUGACCAGCCACACUGGAACUGAGAAACGGGCCAGACGCCUACGGGAGGCAGCAGUGGGGAAUAUUGCGCAAUGGGCGCAAGCCUGAUGCAGCCAUGCCGCGUGUGUGAAGAAGGCCUUCGGGUUGUAAAGCACUUGCAGCGGGGAGGCGUUACCCGCAGAAGAAGAACCGGCUAACUCCGUGCCAGCAGCCGCGGUAAUAC
rnacentral:rRNA from 1 species